UCUCUUGUAGUAUAAUGGUCUAGGACGUGGGUCUGAUAAGCCUGAGAUGGAGGUUCGAUUCCUCCCAAGAGAA